UACGUAGGGGGCAAGCGUUGUCCGGAAUCAUUGGGCGUAAAGAGCGUGUAGGCGGCCAGAUAGGUCUGCUGUGAAAACUCGAGGCUCAACCUCGAGAUGUCGGCGGAAACCAUUUGGCUAGAGUCCGGAAGAGGAAAGUGGAAUUCUUGGUGUAGCGGUGAAAUGCGUAGAUAUCAAGAGGAACACCUGAGGUGAAGACGGGUUGCUGGGCUGACACUGACGCUGAGGCGCGAAAGCUAGGGUAGCAAACGGG
rnacentral:rRNA from 1 species